GACGAACGCUGGCGGCGCGCUUAAUACAUGCAAGUCGAACGAGAAGCCAGAGCUUGCUCUGGUGGAAAGUGGCGAACGGGUGAGUAACACGUGAGAAACCUGCCCCAAAGAUUGGGAUAAGCCUUGGAAACGAGGUCUAAUACCAAAUACCUUCUUUUUAACACAUGUUAAAAAGAAGAAAUGCUCCGGCGCUUUGGGAUGGUCUCGCGAUCUAUCAGCUUGUUGGUGAGGUAACGGCUCACCAAGGCAUCGACGGAUAGCUGGUCUGAGAGGAUGUCCAGCCACAUUGGAACUGAGACACGGUCCAAACUCCUACGGGAGGCAGCAGUAGGGAAUCUUGCACAAUGAGGGAAACCUUGAUGCAGCGACGCCGCGUGCGGGACGAAGGCCCUAGGUUGUAAACCGCUUUCAGUAGGGACGAAAGUGACGGUACCUACAGAAGAAGCCCCGGCCGAACCUAUGUGCCAGCAGCCGCGGUAAU
rnacentral:rRNA from 1 species